rnacentral:rRNA from 1 species
AGAACGAACGCUGGCGGCAGGCCUCAAACAUGCAAGUCUAGGGGGCGUAGCAAUACGUCACCGGCGGACGGGUGCGUAACACGUGGGAAUGUACUUACUGGUUCGGAAUAACUGAGGGAAACUUCAGCUAAUACCGUAUACGCCCUAAGGGGGAAAGAUUUAUCGGUGCCAGAUGAGCCCGCGUAAGAUUAGCUAGUUGGUGGGGUAAUGGCCUACCAAGGCGACGAUCUUUAGCUGGUCUGAGAGGAUGAUCAGCCACACUGGGACUGAGACACGGCCCAGACUCCUACGGGAGGCAGCAGUGGGGAAUAUUGGACAAUGGGCGAAAGCCCUGAUCCAGCCAUGCCGCGUGAGUGAUGAAGGCCUUAGGGUUGUAAAGCUCUUUCAGUGGGAAGAUAAUGACGGUACCCACAGAAGAACGCCCGGCUAACUUCGCGCCAGCAGCCGC